rnacentral:rRNA from 1 species
AUUGAACGCUGGCGGCAGGCCUAACACAUGCAAGUCGAGCGGAUGAAGGGAGCUUGCUCCUGGAUUCAGCGGCGGACGGGUGAGUAAUGCCUAGGAAUCUGCCUGGUAGUGGGGGAUAACGUCCGGUAACGGGCGCUAAUACCGCAUACGUCCUGAGGGAGAAAGUGGGGGAUCUUCGGACCUCACGCUAUCAGAUGACCCUAGGUCGGAUUAGCUAGUUGGUGGGGUAAAGGCCUACCAAGGCGACGAUCCGUAACUGGUCUGAGAGGAUGAUCAGUCACACUGGAACUGAGACACGGUCCAGACUCCUACGGGAGGCAGCAGUGGGGAAGAGUGGACAAUGGGCGAAAGCCUGAUCCAGCCAUGCCGCGUGUGUGAAGAAGGUCUUCGGAUUGUAAAGCACUUUAAGUUGGGAGGAAGGGCAGUAAGUUAAUACCUUGCUGUUUUGACGUUACCAACAGAAUAAGCACCGGCUAACUUCGUG